rnacentral:rRNA from 1 species
UGGUGGAGUGAUUCGUCUGCUUAAUUGCGAUAACGAACGAGACCUUAACCUGCUAAAUAGCCAGGCCCGCUUUGGCGGGUCGCCGGCUUCUUAGAGGGACUAUCGGCUCAAGCCGAUGGAAGUUUGAGGCAAUAACA